AGAGUUUGAUCCUGGCUCAGAACGAACGCUGGCGGCGUGGAUAAGACAUGCAAGUCGAACGAGAGAAUUGCUAGCUUGCUAAUAAUUCUCUAGUGGCGCACGGGUGAGUAACACGUGAGUAACCUGCCCCCGAGAGCGGGAUAGCCCUGGGAAACUGGGAUUAAUACCGCAUAGUAUCGAAAGAUUAAAGCAGCAAUGCGCUUGGGGAUGGGCUCGCGGCCUAUUAGUUAGUUGGUGAGGUAACGGCUCACCAAGGCGAUGACGGGUAGCCGGUCUGAGAGGAUGUCCGGCCACACUGGAACUGAGACACGGUCCAGACACCUACGGGUGGCAGCAGUCGAGAAUCAUUCACAAUGGGGGAAACCCUGAUGGUGCGACGCCGCGUGGGGGAAUGAAGGUCUUCGGAUUGUAAACCCCUGUCAUGUGGGAGCAAAUUAAAAAGAUAGUACCACAAGAGGAAGAGACGGCUAACUCUGUGCCAGCAGCCGCGGUAAUACAGAGGUCUCAAGCGUUGUUCGGAAUCACUGGGCGUAAAGCGUGCGUAGGCUGUUUCGUAAGUCGUGUGUGAAAGGCGCGGGCUCAACCCGCGGACGGCACAUGAUACUGCGAGACUAGAGUAAUGGAGGGGGAACCGGAAUUCUCGGUGUAGCAGUGAAAUGCGUAGAUAUCGAGAGGAACACUCGUGGCGAAGGCGGGUUCCUGGACAUUAACUGACGCUGAGGCACGAAGGCCAGGGGAGCGAAAGGGAUUAGAUACCCCUGUAGUCCUGGCAGUAAACGGUGCACGCUUGGUGUGCGGGGAAUCGACCCCCUGCGUGCCGGAGCUAACGCGUUAAGCGUGCCGCCUGGGGAGUACGGUCGCAAGAUUAAAACUCAAAGAAAUUGACGGGGACCCGCACAAGCGGUGGAGUAUGUGGCUUAAUUCGAUGCAACGCGAAGAACCUUACCUGGGCUUGACAUGUAAUGAACAACAUGUGAAAGCAUGCGACUCUUCGGAGGCGUUACACAGGUGCUGCAUGGCCGUCGUCAGCUCGUGUCGUGAGAUGUUUGGUUAAGUCCAGCAACGAGCGCAACCCCUGUUGCCAGUUACCAGCACGUGAAGGUGGGGACUCUGGCGAGACUGCCCAGAUCAACUGGGAGGAAGGUGGGGACGACGUCAGGUCAGUAUGGCCCUUACGUCCUGGGCCACACACGUACUACAAUGGCGGCCAACAAAGAGAGGCGAGACCGCGAGGUGGAGCAAAUCUCAAAAAGCCGUCCCAGUUCGGAUCGCAGGCUGCAACCCGCCUGCGUGAAGUUGGAAUCGCUAGUAAUCGCGGAUCAGCAUGCCGCGGUGAAUACGUUCCCGGGCCUUGCACACAAGGCCCGUCA
rnacentral:rRNA from 1 species